GACAGAGGGUGCAAACGUUGUUCGGAAUUACUGGGCGUAAAGCGUGUGUAGGCGGUCGAGUAAGUCGGGUGUGAAAGCCCAGGGCUCAACCCUGGAAGUGCACUCGAUACUGCGCGGCUAGAGUACCGGAGAGGUUGGUGGAAUUCUCGGUGUAGAGGUGAAAUUCGUAGAUAUCGAGAGGAACACCGGUGGCGAAGGCGGCCAACUGGACGAGUACUGACGCUGAGACACGAAAGCGUGGGGAGCAAACAGG
rnacentral:rRNA from 1 species